UUAGUGAUUGGAUUUCAGACCUUUGCUCCACUGCAGUAUUUUUGAAACUUCACGCAAGGAAAGUUCAACAGAGUCAUGUUUUGUAGCAAAUGUUUGGGCCUUGUUCGAUCACGCUAAUGACAGCCACUGAGACGACCAAUACCACCAACCAGGGGUCUGGAUUCAGAGGGACCUCUAGGAUGGCUUAGAGGAAACGCAUGAUUCCCAACCGAUAUUAAUGCAGAUUGGGACACAACACAAUGCUGCGCGUGAGUGUGCCUUCGGAAAAUGGGAUGGUAUGGUAUGUAGAGUUGAGACGGUUUCCCACUGCUCACAUGCAGACAGUUGGUCAGGUCUGCUGCAGAGUACUGGCGGCUGCUGAGUCCAUGGGCUCCUGGCAUGUGAGAC